AUUGAACGCUGGCGGCAGGCUUAACACAUGCAAGUCGAGCGGGGGGAGGUAGCUUGCUACCUAACCUAGCGGCGGACGGGUGAGUAAUGCUUAGGAAUCUGCCUAUUAGUGGGGGACAACAUUUCGAAAGGGAUGCUAAUACCGCAUACGCCCUAAGGGGGAAAGCAGGGGAUCUUCGGACCGUGCGCUAAUAGAUGAGCCUAAGUCGGAUGAGCUAGUUGGUGGGGUAAAGGCCUACCAAGGCGACGAUCUGUAGCGGGUCUGAGAGGAUGAUCCGCCACACUGGGACUGAGACACGGCCCAGACUCCUGCGGGAGGCAGCAGUGGGGAAUAUUGGACAAUGGGGGGAACCCUGAUCCAGCCAUGCCGCGUGUGUGAAGAAGGCCUUUUGGUUGUAAAGCACUUUAAGCGAGGAGGAGGCUACCGAGAUUAAUACUCUUGGAUAGUGGACGUUACUCGCAGAAUAAGCACCGGCUAACUCUGUGCCAGCCGCCGCAGUAAUAC
rnacentral:rRNA from 1 species